UCUCAUCAAGGGUUCCAUAAGGGUUUCAUCAAGAGUUCCAUCAGGGUUUCAUCAAGGUCUCCAUCAAGGGUUUCAUCAAAGUUUUUUAUCAAGUUUUUUUAUCAAGGGUUCCACCAGGGUUUCAUCGAGGGCUCCAUCCUGAAUGUGCAUGAUGAUCGUAUCCUUGUUGUAGCAGGUCAGUGUUGUGAGCUAGUUUGCCAUGCUUGUGGAAGUUUAUUCAUUGCUUCCAUUCCCUUGUGGCAGCUUGAUUCAUGCCUCCUGCAGGUCUUGC
rnacentral:lncRNA from 1 species